UACGUAGGGUGCAAGCGUUGUCCGGAAUUAUUGGGCGUAAAGAGCUUGUAGGCGGUUUGUCGCGUCGGCUGUGAAAUCCCGAGGCUCAACCUCGGGUCUGCAGUCGAUACGAGCAAACUAGAGUGUUGCAGGGGAGACUGGAAUUCCUGGUGUAGCGGUGAAAUGCGCAGAUAUCAGGAGGAACACCCGGUGGCGAAAGG
rnacentral:rRNA from 1 species